GAGGAAUAUUGGUCAAUGGGCGCAAGCCUGAACCAGCCAUCCCGCGUGCAGGAAGACGGCCCUAUGGGUUGUAAACUGCUUUUCCAGGGGGAGAAUUUUUCUGUCGUGACAGGAAUUGACGGUACCCUGGGAAUAAGCAUCGGCUAACUCCGUGCCAGCAGCCGCGGUAAUACGGAGGAUGCGAGCGUUAUCCGGAUUUAUUGGGUUUAAAGGGUGCGUAGGCGGAUUGAUAAGUCAGUGGUGAAAACCUGCAGCUUAACUGUAGACUUGCCGUUGAUACUGUCAGUCUUGAGUGUGGUCAAGGUAGGCGGAAUGUGUAAUGUAGCGGUGAAAUGCUUAGAUAUUACACAGAACACCGAUUGCGAAGGCAGCUUACUGGGCCAUUACUGACGCUGAUGCACGAAAGCGUGGGGAUCGAAC
rnacentral:rRNA from 1 species